rnacentral:rRNA from 1 species
GUGAGUAACACGUGGGUAACCUGCCCAUCAGAAGGGGAUAACACUUGGAAACAGGUGCUAAUACCGUAUAACAAUCAAAACCGCAUGGUUUUGAUUUGAAAGGCGCUUUCGGGUGUCGCUGAUGGAUGGACCCGCGGUGCAUUAGCUAGUUGGUGAGGUAACGGCUCACCAAGGCCACGAUGCAUAGCCGACCUGAGAGGGUGAUCGGCCACAUUGGGACUGAGACACGGCCCAAACUCCUACGGGAGGCAGCAGUAGGGAAUCUUCGGCAAUGGACGAAAGUCUGACCGAGCAACGCCGCGUGAGUGAAGAAGGUUUUCGGAUCGUAAAACUCUGUUGUUAGAGAAGAACAAGGAUGAGAGUAACUGUUCAUCCCUUGACGGUAUCUAACCAGAAAGCCACGGCUAACUACGUGCCAGCAGCCGCGGUAAUACGUAGGUGGCAAGCGUUGUCCGGAUUUAUUGGGCGUAAAGCGAGCGCAGGCGGUUUCUUAAGUCUGAUGUGAAAGCCCCCGGCUCAACCGGGGAGGGUCAUUGGAAACUGGGAGACUUGAGUGCAGAAGAGGAGAGUGGAAUUCCAUGUGUAGCGGUGAAAUGCGUAGAUAUAUGGAGGAACACCAGUGGCGAAGGCGGCUCUCUGGUCUGUAACUGACGCUGAGGCUCGAAAGCGUGGGGAGCAAACAGGAUUAGAUACCCUGGUAGUCCACGCCGUAAACGAUGAGUGCUAAGUGUUGGAGGGUUUCCGCCCUUCAGUGCUGCAGCUAACGCAUUAAGCACUCCGCCUGGGGAGUACGACCGCAAGGUUGAAACUCAAAGGAAUUGACGGGGGCCCGCACAAGCGGUGGAACAUGUGGUUUAAUUCGAAGCAACGCGAAGAACCUUACCAGGUCUUGACAUCCUUUGACCACUCUAGAGAUAGAGCUUCCCCUUCGGGGGCAAAGUGCCAGGUGGUGCAUGGUGGUCGUCAGCUCGUGUCGUGAGAUGUUGGGUUAAGUCCCGCAACGAGCGCAACCCUUAUUGUUAGUUGCCAUCAUUCAGUUG